AAUAAUACAAUGCAAUGCAUGAAUGCAACUACGUGAUGAAUGAGUAAACUAUGAAGUAAUUGCCUUGCCAAUUAUAAUACCUCAGAUUGUGCUAAUGUUCUCGAAUUUCAUCUCUCUCGCUACUAAGUCAAUUACUCUUCUAUUUACAAGUGUGGAGUGCCAAUGUGUGCAAGCAUGCUCUUUUAUUGAGACAAGAUAAAAACUACUACUCCCACAGAAUCCCAAUCAAGAAUCGUAAAAGUUUAAAACUAACACCCCGUCACUCAAGUCCAACUAAAAGCCAAGGUCCCAAAGAAU
rnacentral:lncRNA from 1 species